rnacentral:rRNA from 1 species
AUUGAACGCUGGCGGCAGGCCUAACACAUGCAAGUCGAGCGGAUGAGAGGAGCUUGCUCUUCGAUUCAGCGGCGGACGGGUGAGUAAUGCCUAGGGAUCUGCCCAGUAGUGGGGGACAACGUUUCGAAAGGAACGCUAAUACCGCAUACGUCCUACGGGAGAAAGUGGGGGAUCUUCGGACCUCACGCUAUUGGAUGAGCCUAGGUCGGAUUAGCUAGUUGGUAGGGUAAAGGCCUACCAAGGCGACGAUCCGUAACUGGUCUGAAAGGAUGAUCAGUCACACUGGAACGGAGACACGGUCCAGCCUCCUACGGGAGGCAGCAGUGGGGAAUAUUGGACAAUGGGCGCAAGCCUGAUCCAGCCAUGCCGCGUGUGUGAAGAAGGCCCUCGGGUCGUAAAGCACUUUAAGUUGGGAGGAAGGGCUUACAGCGAAUACCUGUGAGUUUUGACGUUACCGACAGAAUAAGCACCGGCUAACUUCGUGCCAGCCGCCGCCGUAA